AGCUGCCAAAUGCUGUUAAAUCAACUGAGAGAAAUCACAGGCAUUCAGGACCCUUCCUUUCUUCAUGAAGCUCUAAAGGCCAGUAAUGGUGACAUAAGACAGGCAGUCAGCCUUCUCACUGAUGAGAGAGUUAAGGAGCCCAGUCAAGACACUGUUGCUACAGAACCAUCUGAAGUAGAGGGGAGCGCUGCCAACAAGGAGGUAUUAGCAAAAGUGAUAGACCUUACUCAUGAUAACAAAGAUGAUCUUCAGGCUGCCAUUGCUCUGAGUCUCCUGGAGUCCCCCAAAAUUCAAGCUGAUGGAAGAGAUCUUAACAGGAUGCACGAGGCAACCUCUGCAGAAACUAAGCGCUCAAAGAGAAAACGCUGUGAAGUCUGGGGAGAAAAUCCCAAUCCCAAUGACUGGAGGAGAGUUGAUGGUUGGCCAGUUGGGCUGAAAAAUGUUGGCAAUACAUGUUGGUUUAGUGCUGUUAUUCAGUCCCUCUUUCAGUUACCUGAAUUUCGAAGACUUGUUCUCAGCUAUAGUCUGCCACAAAAUGUCCUUGAAAAUUGUCGAAGUCACACGGACAAGAGAAAUAUCAUGUUUAUGCAAGAGCUUCAGUAUUUGUUUGCUCUGAUGAUGGGAUCAAAUCGAAAAUUUGUGGACCCUUCAGCAGCCCUGGAUCUGUUAAAGGGAGCAUUCCGAUCAUCUGAGGAACAGCAGCAAGAUGUGAGUGAAUUCACACACAAGCUCCUGGAUUGGCUAGAGGACGCAUUCCAGCUAGCUGUUAAUGUUAACAGCAAUCCCAGGAACAAAUCUGAAAAUCCAAUGGUGCAGCUGUUUUAUGGUACUUUCCUGACUGAAGGGGUUCGUGAAGGAAAGCCCUUCUGUAACAACGAGACCUUUGGCCAGUAUCCUCUUCAGGUAAAUGGUUAUCACAACUUAGACGAAUGUUUGGAAGGGGCCAUGGUGGAGGGUGACAUUGAGCUUCUUCCCUCCGAUCAUUCGGUGAAGUAUGGACAAGAGCGUUGGUUUACAAAGCUACCUCCAGUGUUGACCUUUGAACUCUCAAGAUUUGAGUUCAAUCAGUCCCUUGGGCAGCCAGAGAAAAUUCACAAUAAGCUGGAAUUUCCUCAGAUUAUUUAUAUGGACAGGUACAUGUAUAGGAGCAAGGAGCUUAUUCGAAAUAAGAGAGAAUGUAUUCGAAAGUUAAAGGAGGAAAUAAAAGUUCUGCAGCAAAAACUUGAACGGUAUGUGAAGUACGGCUCAGGCCCAGCUCGGUUCCCACUCCCGGACAUGUUGAAAUAUGUUAUUGAAUUUGCUAGCACGAAACCUGCCUCAGAAAGCUGUCCACUUGAAAGUGACACUUGCAUGACAUUACCACUUUCUUCAGUGCACUGCCCAGUUUCUGACCUGACAUCCAAGGAAAGUGCAAGCACAGAAAGCUCUUCUCAGGAUGCUGAAAGCAGCUUUUCUUCUGAAGAUUCUCUACACAUGUCUACGCCAUGUGCAUCUUCCCUGUCUUCCAUGGAAAAAAUGCCUGCACACCCAGCUCCUCGAAAAGUCACUGACGAGGAGAUAAGCUUUGUUAAGACCUGUCUUCAGAGGUGGAGGAGUGAGAUUGAACAAGAUAUACAAGAUUUAAAGAAUUGUAUUGCAAGCACUACCCAGACUAUUGAGCAGAUGUACUGUGACCCUCUCCUUCGUCAGGUGCCUUAUCGCUUGCAUGCAGUUCUUGUUCAUGAAGGACAAGCAAAUGCUGGACACUACUGGGCCUAUAUCUAUAAUCAACCCCGGCAAAUCUGGCUCAAGUACAAUGACAUCUCUGUUACUGAAUCUUCCUGGGAAGAACUUGAAAGAGAUUCCUAUGGGGGUCUGAGAAAUGUUAGUGCCUACUGUCUGAUGUAUAUUAAUGAUAAACUCCCCCACUUCAAUGCAGAGGCAGCCCCUAACGAAUCAGAUCAAAUGUCAGAAGUGGAAUCCCUGUCAGUGGAACUGAAGCAUUACAUUCAGGAAGAUAACUGGCGGUUUGAGCAGGAAGUAGAGGAGUGGGAAGAAGAGCAGUCUUGUAAAAUUCCUCAAAUGGAAUCUUCUACCAACUCUUCCUCACAGGAUUUCUCUACAUCACAAGAAUCUUCAAUAGCCCCCUCUCCCGGGGUUCGAUGCCUGUCGUCUGAGCAUGCUGUGAUUGUAAAGGAGCAGACUGCCCAGGCCAUUGCAAACACGGCCCGUGCCUAUGAGAAGAGUGGUGUGGAAGCAGCACUGAGUGAGCUUAAGGAAGCUGAACCCAAGAAGCCCAUGCCCCAGGAAACAAACCUUGCAGAGCAGUCAGAACAGCCCCCAAAGGCUAAUGAUGCAGAGUCUACUACCCAGCCUAAUUCUGAGGUCUCUGAAGUCGAGAUUCCCAGUGUGGGAAGGAUUCUGGUUAGAUCUGAUGCAGAUGGAUAUGAUGAGGAGGUGAUGCUGAGCCCUGCCAUGCAAGGGGUCAUCCUGGCCAUAGCUAAAGCCCGUCAGACCUUUGACCGAGAUGGGUCUGAAGCAGGGCUUAUUAAGGCAUUCCACGAAGAAUACUCCAGGCUCUAUCAGCUUGCCAAAGAGACUCCCACCUCUCACAGCGACCCUCGACUUCAGCAUGUCCUUGUCUACUUUUUCCAAAAUGAAGCACCUAAAAGGGUAGUAGAACGGACCCUUCUGGAACAGUUUGCAGAUAAAAAUCUUAGCUAUGAUGAAAGAUCAAUCAGCAUUAUGAAGGUGGCUCAAGCUAAACUGAAGGAAAUUGGUCCAGAUGACAUGAAUAUGGAAGAGUACAAGAAGUGGCAUGAAGAUUAUAGUUUGUUCCGAAAGGUGUCUGUGUAUCUCCUAACAGGCCUGGAGCUCUAUCAGAAAGGAAAGUACCAAGAGGCACUUUCCUACCUGGUGUAUGCCUACCAGAGCAAUGCGGCUCUGCUGAUGAAGGGGCCCCGCCGGGGCGUCAAGGAAUCCGUGAUUGCUUUAUACCGAAGAAAAUGCCUUCUGACUUUUCUCCUCCCCCCACUCUGCCUUUUAUCUGUAGGAGCUGAAUGCCAAAGCAGCUUCUCUCUUUGAGACAAAUGAUGAUCAUUCUGUAACAGAAGGCAUUAAUGUGAUGAAUGAGCUGAUCAUCCCCUGCAUUCACCUUAUCAUUAAUAAUGACAUUUCCAAGGAUGACCUGGAUGCCAUCGAGGUCAUGAGAAACCACUGGUGCUCUUACCUUGGGCAAGAUAUUGCAGAAAAUCUGCAGCUGUGCUUAGGGGAGUUUCUACCGAGGCUUCUAGAUCCUUCUGCAGAAAUCAUUGUCUUGAAGGAGCCUCCAACUAUUCGACCCAAUUCUCCGUAUGACCUUUGUAGCCGAUUUGCAGCUGUCAUGGAGUCAAUUCAAGGAGUUUCAACUGUGACAGUGAAAUAAGCCCCCACAUGUUCAGGCUCAUCCUGGGAUCUGGCCUGUUGCACAGAAGUCUGUUGUCAUGGUACUCACCUUGGGAAAGGAUUAGAUGGACAAGUACGACUCAGAUUCCAACCCCAGCCAUGCUGCAUAUGUAAAGAAGGAUUGAAAAAUAAAAUUGCACUUUUUAGGUACAGAAUCAUAAAAGCUAUUUCACUAGAAAAGGCAGGAACCAGUGUAUGGAGGUACUCAAUUACGCCAGAAGACCUGAAAUGCCUUUGUACCUACAGUAAGGCUAGGGCUUUUCUAAGCCUCUUGCCACUUUUUAAAUUAUCCUUCAGGCAUAAAUAGUUUUGACAGCAGAAUAGAAGAGUGAUUCAUCAGAACCUGAACCAGGUGAAUAGCUACUAGUUACUUUAUUAAAUACAGGUGACAUUUAAAAAUUCUUAACUGCAAGAGAUUAGGAAUAUAAACUCUGCCUAGCUCUUGACAGGAGAUGACAAAAUGGGUUGCUGAUGAACCUCGCCCUUUUACAUGUGGGUAGAAUAUAAGAUCACAUGGCAAUAAGAUGCUGAAAAGUCAAGAGAAUUGCCUCUCCUUUCUUCUCUCCUUUGUAUUUUUAAAGAAACCAGAAAACCUCAUAGUCAGCCCUGAGUGAAAGAAAGGAAAGCAGUUGAGGACUUCAGACAGAAUAGCAUUGUGAAACUUGACUAAAGAUAGUGUGUUAAUAAUUGUUAGCCAUGUAGGUAAAAUUUUCUAAUAUCCCCAAAUUGUCAAAAACAGGUUUCUAAGGCUACUGCUGGCCCAAAAGACGAUUUUAAUCCCCCACCCGUUUUUUGCUCUUAAAAAAUAUGGGAUGUGGAUUUGUAAAAAGAAAAAAACUAUAUGUAUAUGUAGAGAGAAAGAUAUUCCCUGUUGACCAUUUUUAAAAGGCUCUCAAUUGGAUAUUGUAUUUUAAACAGAUUUUAAGAUUAAUGGUGGAAUUGUGGGAGGGAAGGACACUUGAUACUUGAUACAACUAUGCAGAUUUUAUAAAUGUGCAAUAAAAAUAUUUGUUUUACCUUUGG